AAGAUAGAGGUGCGGUCAAAAUUAGUAGUAUUUCUGAGAUGUGUUUGUCAUAGCGAUCCCAAAGCUUGUUCGGAAAUGUGAAAGGUGCGACUGCCGAAGCACAGGUGUGGGAAGCCUGAAGCUGACUGUAGUUUUAACAGAACUCCGGUUGUCAUCAUUGAUUAUGAUGGAGUGCUAUCG
rnacentral:ncRNA from 1 species